CCUAAAGAGGUUUAAGUUUAGAGGAUCAAACGACAGCUGGAGACAGACACACAUCAGAGAGAACCACGGGCAACAUGCCUCUCAAACGAGAAGAUACAGAGCGAGCGCUGCAGGCAAUGGAAGCCUGUCAAUCAGCAGGUGAUGAAGGUUUCAGGAGUCGAGCUGAGAGACUCUUGACCAUCUUUCAGAGUGACCUGUUUCAGGCUCUGCUGGACAUUCAGGAGAUUUAUGAGCUGACGGUGUUUGAGAAUCAGACGGCAGAUCGAGCGCUCACACCGGGACUGGUGAGUGUGUGAGUGUGUGUGAGAGAGUGU